rnacentral:lncRNA from 12 species
GAAUUGGCUAGUGUCUAGCAAUGAAGGGUGACAUGAUGCAGAGAAGAGACAUUGGGGAUGAAGAAUACAGCAGAAAUAGAAUAUGGAAUCUGAUUACGUGGGAUCCACAGCUCUCUUUAUUGGAAGUGACCAUUUUCCCAGUUAUGAAUAAGGAAGGAUUCAGUGCUGGAGAAGAAUAGCCAUCUUAAGAGCACAAGACAACAAUUGGAGAAGGAAAGUCUUUGCCCUGCAGGGAAGAUUCACUGUUAUGUGAGCAAAAUAAGAUCCUACUUGUUUAAGCACCUAUUUGAGGAGUUUCUUAUGUUCACAGCCAAACCUAAUUCCUAACUGAUAGAAUAAUAAAU